rnacentral:rRNA from 1 species
AACGCUAGCUACAGGCUUAACACAUGCAAGUCGAGGGGCAGCAUGGUCUUAGCUUGCUAAGGCCGAUGGCGACCGGCGCACGGGUGAGUAACACGUAUCCAACCUGCCGUCUACUCUUGGACAGCCUUCUGAAAGGAAGAUUAAUACAAGAUGGCAUCAUGAGUCCGCAUGUUCACAUGAUUAAAGGUAUUCCGGUAGACGAUGGGGAUGCGUUCCAUUAGAUAGUAGGCGGGGUAACGGCCCACCUAGUCUUCGAUGGAUAGGGGUUCUGAGAGGAAGGUCCCCCACAUUGGAACUGAGACACGGUCCAAACUCCUACGGGAGGCAGCAGUGAGGAAUAUUGGUCAAUGGGCGAGAGCCUGAACCAGCCAAGUAGCGUGAAGGAUGACUGCCCUAUGGGUUGUAAACUUCUUUUAUAAAGGAAUAAAGUCGGGUAUGGAUACCCGUUUGCAUGUACUUUAUGAAUAAGGAUCGGCUAACUCCGUGCCAGCAGCCGCGGUAAUACGGAGGAUCCGAGCGUUAUCCGGAUUUAUUGGGUUUAAAGGGAGCGUAGAUGGAUGUUUAAGUCAGUUGUGAAAGUUUGCGGCUCAACUGUAAAAUUGCAGUUGAUACUGGAUAUCUUGAGUGCAGUUGAGGCAGGCGGAAUUCGUGGUGUAGCGGUGAAAUGCUUAGAUAUCACGAAGAACUCCGAUUG